UUUAUACGUCGAUUUUUGGUCGCGUCGAAUGCAUUUAAUGAUAAACCUCAUGCAUUAAGCUUCAUUAUCUAUUGUUUCAAUUGCAUUCGACGCGACCGAAAUUCGACGUAUAAA